GCGCUUGGAUGGCGCGGUGAAGAUGCGUAUAUUAGCCCUGUCGGUGGAUUUCCGUCGACUAUGGCGAUAAACGCCGCGUGAAAUAAGCGUUGCGGACCCGGGGGCAGUACCCGGCGCCUCCACCAUUUCGAACCGGCUGUGCUUGAUGCGAUUCGCUUCAGGCCAAGGCCGGCGCGAAGCCAAUAUGGGGGCGAACUAGGAUCGACGUGCGUGGUAAAGGCUCGGUUUUUGCUCGGUAUUGUACCACCGUUAUCGGGCUACAUUCUAAGUGCGAAUGAUAAUGAAGUAGCACUCGCUGCCUAGCAUUGCUAGGUAAGCGCGGCCCGGGGGGCGCCGGGCAACAGAAGCCCCCCACU
rnacentral:tmRNA from 1 species